GACGAACGCUGGCGGCGUGCUUAACACAUGCAAGUCGAACGGUAAGGCCCUUCGGGGUACACGAGUGGCGAACGGGUGAGUAACACGUGGGUGAUCUGCCCUGCACUUCGGGAUAAGCCUGGGAAACUGGGUCUAAUACCGGAUAGGACCACUGCCUGCAUGGGUGGUGGUGGAAAGCUUUUGCGGUGUGGGAUGGGCCCGCGGCCUAUCAGCUUGUUGGUGGGGUGAUGGCCUACCAAGGCGACGACGGGUAGCCGGCCUGAGAGGGUGACCGGCCACACUGGGACUGAGAUACGGCCCAGACUCCUACGGGCGGAAGCAGUGGGGAAUAUUGCACAAUGGGCGCAAGCCUGAUGCGGCGACGCCGCGGGAGGGAUGACGGCCUUCGGGUUGUAAACCUCUUUCAGCACCGACGAAGCGCAAGUGACGGUAGGUGCAGAAGAAGGACCGGCCAACUACGUGCCAGCCGCCGCAGUAA
rnacentral:rRNA from 1 species